rnacentral:rRNA from 1 species
CCUACGGGGGGCUGCAGUGGGGAAUAUUGGACAAUGGGGGGAACCCUGAUCCAGCCAUGCCGCGUGUGUGAAGAAGGCCCUCGGGUUGUAAAGCACUUUCAGUGAGGAAGAACGCCUGGUGGUUAAUACCCAUCAGGAAAGACAUCACUCACAGAAGAAGCACCGGCUAACUCCGUGCCAGCAGCCGCGGUAAUACGGAGGGUGCGAGCGUUAAUCGGAAUUACUGGGCGUAAAGCGCGCGUAGGUGGCUUGAUAAGCCGGUUGUGAAAGCCCCGGGCUCAACCUGGGAACGGCAUCCGGAACUGGCUAGAUAGAGGUAGGGAGAGGAAGGUGGAGUUCACGGUGUAGCGGUGAAAUGCGUAGAGAUCGGGAGGAAUACCAGGGGCGAAGGCGGCGUGCUGGCGUGACAAUGACGCUGAGGUGCGAAAGUGUGGGUAGCAAACAGGAUGAGAUACCCGAGUAGGC